UACAGAGGUCCCGAGCGUUGUUCGGAUUCACUGGGCGUAAAGGGCGCGUAGGCGGUGUGUCAAGUCAGGCGUGAAAGCCCCGGGCUCAACCUGGGAACCGCGCUUGAGACUGGCACGCUAGAGUUCGGGAGAGGAUGGUGGAAUUCCCAGUGUAGAGGUGAAAUUCGUAGAUAUUGGGAAGAACACCGAUGGCGAAGGCAGCCAUCUGGACCGACACUGACGCUGAGGCGCGAAAGCGUGGGGAGCAAACAGG
rnacentral:rRNA from 1 species